rnacentral:rRNA from 1 species
AGAGUUUGAUCCUGGCUCAGGAUGAACGCUAGCGACAGGCUUAACACAUGCAAGUCGAGGGGCAGCAGGGGAGUAGCAAUACUCCCGCUGGCGACCGGCGCACGGGUGAGUAACACGUAUGCAACCUGCCCUUGUCAGGGGGAUAAGCGGAAGAAAUUCCGUCUAAUACCGCAUAAUGCUGCGGGGAGACAUCUCCCUGCAGCCAAAGAUUUAUCGGACAAGGAUGGGCAUGCGGCGCAUUAGCUGGUUGGCGGGGUAACGGCCCACCAAGGCGACGAUGCGUAGGGGUUCUGAGAGGAAGGUCCCCCACACUGGUACUGAGACACGGACCAGACUCCUACGGGAGGCAGCAGUGAGGAAUAUUGGUCAAUGGCCGGGAGGCUGAACCAGCCAAGUCGCGUGAGGGAAGACGGUCCUAUGGAUUGUAAACCUCUUUUGUCAGGGAGCAAAAACUGCCACGCGUGGCAGGAUGAGAGUACCUGAAGAAAAAGCAUCGGCUAACUCCGUGCCAGCAGCCGCGGUAAUACGGAGGAUGCGAGCGUUAUCCGGAUUUAUUGGGUUUAAAGGGUGCGUAGGCGGACAGUUAAGUCAGCGGUAAAAUUGAGAGGCUCAACCUCUUCCCGCCGUUGAAACUGAUUGUCUUGAGUGGGCGAGAAGUAUGCGGAAUGCGUGGUGUAGCGGUGAAAUGCAUAGAUAUCACGCAGAACUCCGAUUGCGAAGGCAGCAUACCGGCGCCCAACUGACGCUGAAGCACGAAAGCGUGGGUAUCGAACAGGAUUAGAUACCCUGGUAGUCCACGCAGUAAACGAUGAAUACUAAUUGUUCGGGUCAAAUGAGAUCUGAGUGAUACAGCGAAAGCGUUAAGUAUUCCACCUGGGGAGUACGCCGGCAACGGUGAAACUCAAAGGAAUUGACGGGGGCCCGCACAAGCGGAGGAACAUGUGGUUUAAUUCGAUGAUACGCGAGGAACCUUACCCGGGCUCAAACGACGGAUGAAUACUUUUGAAAGGAGGUAGUCCUUCGGGACAUCCGUCGAGGUGCUGCAUGGUUGUCGUCAGCUCGUGCCGUGAGGUGUCGGCUUAAGUGCCAUAACGAGCGCAACCCCCAUCGCCAGUUGCCAACAGGUAAAGCUGGGAACUCUGGCGAGACUGCCGGCGCAAGCUGUGAGGAAGGCGGGGAUGACGUCAAAUCAGCACGGCCCUUACGUCCGGGGCGACACACGUGUUACAAUGGCAGGUACAGAGAGAUGCGACACGGCGACGUGGAGCGGAACUGUCAAAACCUGUCUCAGUUCGGAUCGGAGUCUGCAACCCGACUCCGUGAAGCUGGAUUCGCUAGUAAUCGCGCAUCAGCCAUGGCGCGGUGAAUACGUUCCCGGGCCUUGCACACACCGCCCGUCA